GAUGUAGUCUGUCUGCUCCAGGAUUAUUAAAUAGCCGCGGAAAUUUAACUGUGCUAAGGUAGCAUAAUCAUUAGCCCCUUAAUUAGGGGCUUGUAUGAAGGGCAAAACACUUCAAUUUCUUUCUUUAUUAAUUAAUUUAAAUUUAAAUUAGAAAUAAAAAUGUUUCUAUACUAUAUUAAGACGAUAAGACCCUUUUGAACUUUACUAUCUGUUUGGCUGGGGCAGCCAAAUAAUGAUUAUCUUACUCUAUUUAAUUUAUUAGAUGACCCACUAUAAUUGAUUAUACGAACAAGUUACCAUAGGGAUAACAGCGUAAUAUCUUUUUAAAGCUCUUAUUAAAAAAGAAGUUUGCGACCUCGAUGUUGAAUUAAUGUUGCUUAUAUAGUGCAAUGACUUAAAAAGUGGGUCUGUUCGACCCAUAAAACAUUACAUGAUCUGAGUCAAAACCCCGGGAGA
rnacentral:rRNA from 1 species